GAACGAACGCUGGCGGCAUGCCUACCCCAUGCAAGUCGAACGAGACCUUCGGGUCUAGUGGCGCACGGGUGCGUAACGCGUUGGAACCUGCCCUUAGGUUCGGAAUAACUCCCCGAAAGGGGUGCUAAUACCGGAUAAUGUCUUCGGACCAAAGAUUUAUCGCCUUUGGAUGGGCCCGCGUUGGAUUAGCUAGUUGGUAGGGUAAAAGCCUACCAAGGCGACGAUCCAUAGCUGGUCUGAGAGGAUGAUCAGCCACACUGGGACUGAGACACGGCCCAGACUCCUACGGGAGGCAGCAGUGGGGAAUAUUGGACAAUGGGCGAAAGCCUGAUCCAGCAAUGCCGCGUGAGUGAUGAAGGCCUUAGGGUUGUAAAGCUCUUUUACCCGGGAUGAUAAUGACAGUACCGGGAGAAUAAGCUCCGGCUAACUCCGUG
rnacentral:rRNA from 1 species